rnacentral:rRNA from 1 species
GACGAACGCUGGCGGCGUGCCUAAUACAUGCAAGUCGAGCGGACUUUCAAGAAGCUUGCUUUUUGAAAGUUAGCGGCGGACGGGUGAGUAACACGUGGGCAACCUGCCUGUAAGACGGGGAUAACUCCGGGAAACCGGGGCUAAUACCGGAUAAUAUCUUUCUUCGCAUGAAGGAAGGUUGAAAGGCGGCGCAAGCUGCCGCUUGCAGAUGGGCCCGCGGCGCAUUAGCGAGUUGGUGAGGUAACGGCUCACCAAGGCGACGCUGCGUAGCCGACCUGAGCGGGUGAUCGGCCACACUGGGACUGAGACACGGCCCAGACUCCUACGGGAGGCAGCAGUAGGGAAGCUUCCGCAAUGGACGAAAGUCUGACGGAGCAACGCCGCGUGAGCGAAGAAGGUCUUCGGAUCGUAAAGCUCUGUUGUCAGGGAAGAACAAGUACCGUUCGAAUAGGGCGGUACCUUGACGGUACCUGACCAGAAAGCCACGGCUAACUACGUGCCAGCCGCCGCGGUAA